rnacentral:lncRNA from 1 species
AUGAAAUAAAUGACGGCAGAGGACGUUUGAAGGCGGCCCCGGCCCGAGGACAGAAGUCCCCGGCCAGCCGUGCUGGGGUGGGGGAGGGCCGAGGGUGGGGACGGGGAUCUGGGGCCGCUCACAUGCAAAUGCGCCGGGACAAUCCGGCCGGGCGCCUCUGCGCCUCCGGGAGGCCGAGGCAGGAACAAAGCAUUAGCAUUUUCUACAUGUGAAAGGCCUGCAUUCCUGGGCGGGGAGGCCCCCGGGGCGCCGCCCCCCUCUUCCCAUUCACACUCGGGACCACACAGAGCGCCUCUCGCGCCAAAAGCUCCGAGGUUCGUUUCAGCUUUUCUUUUCAUCCGAGCGAUGCAUACGAAAUGUAGAUAUUUCCCUAAACGCCGGCUUUGACAUUUAAUGCGAUCCUAAGUAGUCUGAAAUGUGGACGGGAUUAGGAGGAGGCUGGGGGCCCACAGGGACACUUGGCCAAAUCCCCCUAAAUCCUCCAGGACAAUUGUUUGUCACCACACGGAUUCCUAUUGCCCCAAAUGAGGGGGCUAAUGAACUUCGCUGCCUCCUCCCGUCGCAGCCCCACUCCCACCCUGGAGCCUGCAUUUCUGCCCAGUCCUUUCUAGGAAGAAAGGGAAGAUGAAUUUUUAAAUUGCAAGUUUUCUGCAUGGGUUUGGUUACUUUAGUCCAGGCCAAGUUGACUUGGAGGAUUGACUUUGACCAGUAACUAACCCACCCGUCCCGGGCUACUAUUUAACUCUCACUCCAUAAAGGCGCAGAGGUCAAGGAUGCUGAGGCCCUGUGAAUCUUGGGCUUAUGUUAAUAGGCCUUCACCACCUUGAAAGAAGUAGGCCCUGGGUGUCGUUGCCAGGCCUAGAAAGGACAUGUCACCAAAAAUUCUGUUUAGCAGGCUUUAUUGUUCACCUAGAACAAUCCACACACUGUAUAAUGCACAGCCUGUCUUCAAAGGUACUUACAAUCCAGUAGGGGAAAGAAAAUGGUCAACAAAGAACACGUCAUGAAAGACAUGCGCUUGCAGAUUUGCCUAGUUACUAUGGGGCUGAAACAAAAAAGCUUCUGGGACCAGAGCAUGCCCUCAGUAAGCAUGUGUGAAAUGAAGAGUGGGGGCAUAAGAGGAAAUCCCUUGGAGGAGGAUAGGGCUAUGGAGAGGCAGUGUGGGAUGCCCAGGAUGUUGACACAUUAAAACUGGAAGGGAGAAAAUUUUAGGCAGCAGAAGAGACUGAAGCAAAGCUCUGAGGGUAGGAAAUGGUGACUCCUUUUAGGGGAUGGCAGAGAAUCCAGUGGUGGAACAAAUGGGGCAUAAGGGAGGGAUUAAUAGUAGCUAAACUGGGUGUGGUGGCUCAUGCCUGUAAUUCCAGCACUUUGGGAGGUGGGAGGAUCACUUGAGGCCACGAGUUUGAGACCAGCCUGGGCAACAUAGUGAGACAUUGUCUCUGCUUUAAAAAAAGAAAAAGGCUAAGUAGGAAGGGCAGAAAGAGACCUUCAGGUAUCCCUGAAGCAACCCCUAGGCAGGAGCCAGAGCUGUGCUAUAGGAAGUUACAGGCUGUGGUGAGGAAGAAAGGGUGGGAGAAGGAAUCUGAGGCAAGGAGACCGGGUACCUCUUGUCAUCACAAGAUGAGGUCCUGGGCAAGGCAGGAAAGAAUAGGAUGAGAACACAGGAUGCCACUAGGUGUUGAGCAAAUCAAAAGUGAAGGAGGACUGGGUGCAGUGGUUUGCACUUGUAGUCCCAGCUACUAGGGAAACUGAGGUGGGAAGAUCAUUUGAACCCAGGAGUCUGAGGCCAGCCUGGACAACAUAGUGAGACUCCGUCUCAGAAAAAAAGUGAAGGAGGUGGUAAUUUAUCUCAAGGAGUCCCCCUCCAUUCCCCACUGUCCAGCCUCAGUGCUGUUAUAUAAUCUUUGCUUUGAUAUCACUUUUACAUGAUACAGUGAAAAUUAUGGUGUUCCCUUUCAAACAUUUGGGAGUUCAAGGCACAUUCAGCAAUGGUACAAUGGCCGCACCCUUAAACAUCAUUCUAAUCCUAUGAAUUAGUAUCCCCAUUUUACAGAUGAAGAAACUCAGGCACAAAGAAGCAAAGCAACUUGUUUCAUAUCAAAAUUGUUCCAGAGAGAGAACCAAGAUUUGAAGCCAGUCGGGCUAGAGGGUCCAUGAUGUCAUCAGUCACUUUUCUCCAGGUGGCUUCCAAGAACAGGGAGGAAUGAGAGAGACUCAGAGGUAGCACUGAGAUGAAGGAAGUACAGAGGGAGACUGGGCUGAGCAGGCCCUUUCGGUAACAAGAGGGAUAAGUGAACUCACCUGUAUUAAGUGUCCACCAGGCACACUUUGCAUGCAUCAUCUCAUUUUAAUCCUCACACUAGGCCCUGAAGAAAAGCAUUUUACAAACUGGUCAAAAAACCUCAAGAGAGAUGAAGUCAUUUGCUCAAAGUCACUUAGAUUGAGUAAGGGCAGAGCUGUCAGAAAACUAGUCAGAAAGGGACUAUGAGAGGUGACACUCUGAUAUGAAAGAGGAGGCGGAGGGUGCAUAGUUUCCACAUGCAGGCAGAUGGCAGUGCAUUGGGCAAGGCCAUGCAAGGUUGCUGGCCUGUGUUCCAGUCAAGGGCAUGGCUUUAACAGAGCUCUGCAGGAGGCUGUUAAGGGCCGGAGGGCACAAGGGAAGACUACUACAGCUGUUCUGAGGGUUCAUGCCAUGUGGUUUGGGAGACACUUGCAACAACAUCCUCCUGGGUCCAUGAAGAAAUUCAUGAGGUCGAUUUUGUCCCGUAUUGUAGAUGAUGCAGCUGAAUGAGUGGUAGAGCUUCAAUAGACCUAAUGGCUCUCAGAAUUCAAAACCCCAGCAAAGGCCAGGCACGGUGGCUGAUGCCUGUAAUCCCAGCACUUUGGGGGGCUGAGGCAGGUGGAUAGCUUGAGCUCAGGAGUUUGAGAUCAGCCUGGGCAACAUAGCGAAAACCCGCUUCUACAAAAAAUACAAAACUGGGCAUGGUGGCUCUUGCCUGUAGUCCCAGCUACUCGGGAGACUGAGGUGGGAGGACCACUUGAGCCCAGGAGGUCCAGGUUGCACUGAGCCUUGAUAGAGCCACUGCAACAUUUGCCUGGGCAACAAAGCAAGACCAUAGAACAACAACAACAACAAAACCCAAAAACCUAAAAACGUAAACCCCAGCAAAUAAGUUGCCAUAUUUUGAGACUGAUGCCUAUGGUUCUCAUAUCUGCUAAAUUCCAGAAAACCAUAUACCAUAGAAGAAACUGUAUUUACCAGGGAAGAUACAAAGGGGGAAGAAACUGGGAACAACCAGGAAAAACUUUAGUAAGUGACAUUUAAAUCCUUUUUUUUUUUUUUUUUUAGACAAGAGUCUUGCCCUGUCACCCAGGCUGGAGUGUAGUGGCACGAUCCUGGCUCACUGGAACCUCCAUCUACCAGGUUCAAGUGCUUCUCCUGCCUCAGCCUCCCGAGUAGCUGGGAUUACAGGCACCCGCCACCACGCCCAGUUAAUUUUUAUAUUUUAGUAGAGACGGGGAUUUCGCCAUAUUAGCCAGGUUGGUCUCGAACUCCUGACUUCAAAUGAUCCACCCGCCUUGGCCUCCCAGAGUGCUGGGAUGACAGGCGUAAACCACCAAACAUGGCCAAAAGCCUUUUUGUAUAGAUAGGGUUGUUACUAGAAAGGGGUCCCGAUCUAGACUCCAAGAGAAUUCAGAAAGACUUCAGCGUAAGUCUGUAAAGUGAAAGCAAGUUUAUUAAGAAAGUAAAGGAAUAAAGAAUGGCUACUACACAGGCAGAACAGCCCUGAGAGCUGCUGGUUGCCCAUUUUUAUGGUUAUUUCUUGAUGAUGUGCUAAACAAUGGGUGGAUUAUUCAUGUUUCCCCUUUUUAGACCAUAUAGAGUAACUUCCCAAUGUUGCCAUGGCAUUUGUAAACUGUUAUGGCGCUGGUGGGAGUGUAGCAGUGAGGAUGUCACUCUCAUCACCAUCUUGGUUUUGGUGGGUCUUAGCUGGCUUCUUUACUGCAACCUGUUUUAUCAGCAAGGUCUUUAUGACCUGUAUCUUGUGCUGCCCUAUCUCAUCCUGUGACUUAGAAUGCCUUAAGCCUUAACCACAUGGGAAUGCAGCCCAGUAGCUUUCAGCCUUAUUUUACCCAGCUCCCAUUUAAGAUGGAGUUGCUCUGGUUCAAACCCCUCUGACAGAGUUACCUCAGUUAGCAGAGGUGGCUUUAACAAAAUGGGGCAGGAAAAAUAGGUGGGAAGAAGCCUUCCUGGCUAUGGGAACCAGUAUGAGUCCAGACACAGAGGUGAAGAACUUAUAUUUAAUUUGCUGGGCUCUGCUGACAGUAGGCAGUGGAAGGAAAAGCUGAGCUGCUGGAACAUUAAUCUGAAAAACACUGAAUUGGCCUCCCUUAGGAUGUGCAGGGCUAUGCCAGCAACUGCAGCAGGCAUGGUUAUGACAUCUUUGCCAGGCUUCCCUGCAGCUUAGGAUGGCUCCAUGACAUGAUGUGACAAAAGAGAUGUUAAGCUCAAGGCUGCUGAGGUUUCUAAGAAAGUUUUGUUCCAGAUAGUCUCCCAUCAAGAUUAGCUAGUUUUUGCCCUGUUUUUCUUGCCUUCAAUGUUGAUGUGAUACUGGAAUAUCUUGUGACUAUGGAAACAAAUGCCCAAAUGCUGAGGACAGUGGCAUGGAAAAACAGAGCUGAGUCCUGGAUGGCAUCACGGGACACUAGAACCCAGGCCAGCAGCUGCCUUCAUAUCCCCUUCUCAAGUGAGAGAAAAAUAAUCUUUAAGUCACAGACCUAUUUUUUGCUACUUGCAGCCAAAUAUAGUCUUAUUUAAUAUAGGACCUGCCCUACCCUUACUAGGUAUUGCCUGCUUUCCCAUAAACAAACCAGCAUGCAGAGAAAGUUCUAAUUUCUUGAUUUCUCUAAAGAUGUGUUUUUUUGAAGUACAAUUAUAGGGCUUUUCCCCUUCAUACUACCAUGACUAUGUGAGUUCCUAGCGAUUUAUGAAGUCUGUGGACUCACUCUCCAGAAAAUUCCCAGGCAAAGCAAUUCUGCUCAUUUGAGUGGGUCUCACAGUACUGCUGUCGGUCUGGAGUAUGGGAAAGCAGAGACGGCAGACUUAAACCAACAGCAGUGCAGAUUACGGGUCCUAUGGUCCUACUUAGAAGGGGCUUCAAGAGGUCCAAGGAAGCUAGGCUAUCUCUGCUUUCUGUGUCCACCUGUAAAAAUCUACUCUGUGUACAAAACAACUACAAUGUGGCACUCGAUCAAUGGAGCCCCUACAUCCAUCCAUCCAUGUUUAAAAAGAGGAGGAUAUUCUCCCCUUCUUUGAGUCUGUUGGCAAUGCCUAUCUCAGUCACAAAUAUUCAGUUCUAGUAUAUAUCAUUACCUGAGUUCCGCUUCCUGUCAGCAACAGAAUAAUUCAGAUAGGCUGGGCUCGAUGGCUCACGCCUGUAAU